UUGUAUCACAAAGACAUGAGAGUUUUAUUCAGGAUUUUGUGUUGUAAUGAAAUAAUAAUUCAUGUGGAGUGUACAAAAAAUAGUUCAUCUUCCUCGCAGAGGAAGAUGAACAGAUGUUGAUUGAUAAAUGAAGUGGUGGUUAAGUCGACUAUUCACGUUUUACCACUUCACUCUGAAGACUCGUUUUAUUUCUGGAAUGCGAGGAAUUCUCAAUGCGAUUGCAAAGUCCACGAUGGCGAAGCGUUCAGGGAAUUUGAGAGCAGAACUUAGAACGCUAGAGAUAAUAUCCCUGAUGGUGAGAUUUCUCCAUCCAUCCGAGAUCGAUGAUAAAUUAUUCUUAAGAUAAUUGAUACUAGAUUUGAUACUGAUUUCGGAAUAAUACAUUCGAGAAAAACAAUGCCCGAGUGCAGUGACAAUUAAAAAUGUAAUCACUACAAAAUUGAGUUGAAAUUGAAAGACCGAAUUUAAUGAGCAGAAUGGUGCUGUUAUCUUUCCACUUGAUUGAGAAGCCAUUUAAGUACAUUCACUCUCGAGUGUAAUUCAAGUCGCUGACAAUUAUUCCCAUAAUGAUGGAAAACUAGUUUUUUUUUACUUCAAAUUGCUGUAACAAUCCACCGCAACUCAGCAAGGACAGGUGAUUGGAAAUGCAGCUUCAGACAAUUCCAUGGAAAUCUGCGGGAAUUCCGGUCGUUUGGUUGGCAGAAAAAAAUUAUUGGGUCGUGCAAAAAAUCGGUUGGGGCAAAGUCCAGUCUGCGGCGGAUUCCAUAACAGGAUGGGCAAUUUAUUUGGCGCGAAGAUUAUUCUGAUUGUAUGAUAGAGUCGACAUCUGCUGAGGAUUCUGCGAACCUUAUCAGCGCUCUGAUAAUGGAGGGACCGCCAUUUGUAUUUAUUCCUCAUAAAAUCGAAGCUCUGCCCUGAAAAAAAAAAUCCACUUCAAAAAUACCCCUUUUACCGCAUUUUUACUCAAUUAAAUAUUCAUUUCUCUGGAUAAUAUAAAAAAAUUGU